rnacentral:rRNA from 1 species
AGUGAACGCUGGCGGUAGGCCUAACACAUGCAAGUCGAACGGCAGCACAGUAAGUGCUUGCUCUUACGGGUGGCGAGUGGCGGACGGGUGAGGAAUACAUCGGAAUCUACUUUUUCGUGGGGGCUAACGUAGGGAAACUUACGCUAAUACCGCAUACGACCUACCGGUGACAGCAGGGGAUCUUCUGACCUUGCGCGAUUGAAUGAGCCGAUGACGGGUUUGUUGGUUGGCGGGGUAAAGGCCCACCAAGGCGACGAUCCGUAGCCGGUCUGAGAGGAUGAUCAGCCACACUGGAACUGAGACACGGUCCAGACUCCUACGGGAGGCAGCAGUGGGGAAUAUUGGACAAUGGGCGCAAGCCUGAUCCAGCCAUGCCGCGUGGGUGAAGAAGGCCUUCGGGUUGUAAAGCCCUUUUGUUGGGAAAGAAAGCAGCAGGUUAAUACCCCGCUGUUCUGACGGUACCCAAAGAAUAAGCACCGGCUAACUUCGUG